rnacentral:rRNA from 1 species
UACGGGGGGGGCAAGCGUUGUUCGGAAUUACUGGGCGUAAAGGGUCUGUAGGUGGCCAACUAAGUCAGACGUGAAAUCCCUCAGCUUAACUGGGGAACUGCGUCUGAGACUGGAUGGCUCGAGUGCAGGAGAGGAAUGCGGAAUUCCAGGUGUAGCGGUGAAAUGCGUAGAUAUCAGGAGGAACACCAACAGCGAAGGCAGCUCGCUGGGACGGUACUGACGCUGAGGCGCGAAAGCGUGGGGAGCGAACAGG